AGAGCUUGCUCUCGGGUGACGAGCGGCGGACGGGUGAGUAAUGUCUGGGAAACUGCCUGAUGGAGGGGGAUAACUACUGGAAACGGUAGCUAAUACCGCAUAAUGUCGCAAGACCAAAGUGGGGGACCUUCGGGCCUCAUGCCAUCAGAUGUGCCCAGAUGGGAUUAGCUGGUAGGUGGGGUAACGGCUCACCUAGGCGACGAUCCCUAGCUGGUCUGAGAGGAUGACCAGCCACACUGGAACUGAGACACGGUCCAGACUCCUACGGGAGGCAGCAGUGGGGAAUAUUGCACAAUGGGCGCAAGCCUGAUGCAGCCAUGCCGCGUGUGUGAAGAAGGCCUUCGGGUUGUAAAGCACUUUCAGCGGGGAGGAAGGCGGUGAGGUUAAUAACCUCAUCGAUUGACGUUACCCGCAGAAGAAGCACCGGCUAACUCCGUGCCAGCAGCCGCGGUAAUACGGAGGGUGCAAGCGUUAAUCGGAAUUACUGGGCGUAAAGCGCACGCAGGCGGUCUGUCAAGUCGGAUGUGAAAUCCCCGGGCUCAACCUGGGAACUGCAUUCGAAACUGGCAGGCUAGAGUCUUGUAGAGGGGGGUAGAAUUCCAGGUGUAGCGGUGAAAUGCGUAGAGAUCUGGAGGAAUACCGGUGGCGAAGGCGGCCCCCUGGACAAAGACUGACGCUCAGGUGCGAAAGCGUNNGAGCAAACAGGAUUAGAUACCCUGGUAGUCCACGCUGUAAACGAUGUCGAUUUGGAGGUUGUGCCCUUGAGGCGUGGCUUCCGGAGCUAACGCGUUAAAUCGACCGCCUGGGGAGUACGGCCGCAAGGUUAAAACUCAAAUGAAUUGACGGGGGCCCGCACAAGCGGUGGAGCAUGUGGUUUAAUUCGAUGCAACGCGAAGAACCUUACCUGGUCUUGACAUCCACA
rnacentral:rRNA from 2 species